rnacentral:rRNA from 1 species
GACGAACGCUGGCGGCGUGCUUAACACAUGCAAGUCGAACGGAAAGGCGCCUUUGUUGCUACUCGAGCGGUGAAGGGGGGAGUAACACGUGAGUAACCAGCCCCUGACUUUGGGACUACGAUAGGUAAGUGAGGCCAAUGCCAGAAAGGAAUCCUUGCUGCAUGGGGGUGGUUGGAAAGUUUGGGACGGUUUGGAUGGACCGGCGGGUUAUCGGCUUGCUGGUGGGGUAGUGGGUUACCGAGGCGGUGUAGGGUAGCCGGCCUGUGGGGGCGACCGGCCACAUUGGCACUGAGGGACGGCCCAGACACCUACGGGAGGCAGCAGGGGGGAAGAUUGCACAAGCGGCGGAAGCUGGAUGCAGAAACGCCGCGGGCGGGAUGACGGUCUUCGGGUUGUAAAACGCUUUCAGCAGGGGCGAAGCUUGUGGUGACGGUACCUGCAGAAGAAGCACCGGCUAACUACGUG